GACGAACGCUGGCGGCGUGCCUAAUACAUGCAAGUAGGACGCAGUUGCGAACGUGAUAUUAACGCGUAGGUACCUACCUAUUAGAGGGGGAUAACUAUUGGAAACGAUAGCUAAUACCGCCUACUAGUAGGUGGAGCUGGGUUGUAUUAGCUAGUAGGUAGGGUAAUGGCCUACCUAGGCAAAGAUACAUAGCCGAGUUGGGAGGGUGAUCGGCCAACAUGGGGCUGGGGAACGGCCCAGACCCCUACGGGAGGCAACAGUAGGGAAUCUUCGGCAAUGGGGGGAACGCUGACCGAGGCACGCCGCGGGAGUGAAGAAAGUUUUCGGAGCGUAAAGCUCUGUUGUGAAGGAAGCGGUACUUAACCAGGAAGGGACGGCUAACUACGUGCCAGCAGCCGCGGUAAUAC
rnacentral:rRNA from 1 species